rnacentral:rRNA from 1 species
AACGAACGCUGGCGGCAUGCCUAACACAUGCAAGUCGAACGAGACCUCCGGGACUAUUGGCGCACGGGUGCGUAACGCGUGGGAACCUGCCCUUAGGUUCGGAAUAACUCCCCGACAGGGGUGCUAAUACCGGAUAAUGUCUUCGGACCAAAGAUUUAUCGCCUUUGGAUGGGCCCGCGUUGGAUUAGCUAGUUGGUAGGGUAAAAGCCUACCAAGGCGACGAUCCAUAGCUGGUCUGAGAGGAUGAUCAGCCACACUGGGACUGAGACACGGCCCAGACUCCUACGGGAGGCAGCAGUGGGGAAUAUUGGACAAUGGGGGAAAGCCUGAUCCAGCAAUGCCGCGUGAGUGAUGAAGGCCUUAGGGAUGUAAAGCUCUAUUACCCGGGAUGAUAAUGACGGUACCGGGAGAAUAAGCCCCGGCUAACUCCGUG